rnacentral:rRNA from 1 species
CCUACGGGCGGCAGCAGUGGGGAAUAUUUCACAAUGGGGGAAACCCUGAUGCAGCGACGCCGCGUGAGUGAAGAAGUAUCUCGGUACGUAAAGCGCUAUCAUCAGGGAAGAAAAUGACGGUACCUGACUAAGAAGCCCCGGCUAACUACGUGCCAGCAGCCGCGGUAAUACGUAGGGGGCAAGCGUUAUCCGGAUUUACUGGGUGUAAAGGGAGCGUAGACGGCAGAACAAGUCUGGAGUGAAAUCCCGGGGCUUAACCCCGGAACUGCUUUGGCAACUGUGCGGCUGGAGUGCAGGAGGGGUAAGCGGAAGUCCUAGUGUAGCGGUGAAAUGCGUAGAUAUUAGGAGGAACACCGGUGGCGAGGGCGGCUUACUGGACUGUAACUGACGUUGAGGCUCGAAAGCGUGGGGAGCAAACAGGAUUAGAUACCCGGGUAGUC